rnacentral:lncRNA from 1 species
CGAUAUUGAAUUUAUAAAAUAAAUUUCAAUGCAUUGGCUAAAUGAUAUAACAUAGACACCAUGUGUGAUCUUGAUGCUAUAGCAUUCCAUCUUACAUAAUAAAGCAUAAUGCAUUAAAAUUCACUCUUAUUCUACAGAAACACAGACUAUAUUGCAAACAGGAUUCUAAAUAAUCCAUCAUCAUAAAAUGAGACUCUUACUUGACAUACUUCAGAAGCCAUUCCAGCAUAUCUUGAUACGCUUCGUUAGCACGUGUCACAGCGGUUGAAUUAUUAAUAUCAUAUCUGAGCGUCCAUCCAUGAGAACAAUCAGGAAAUACCUUCACAAACCUAUCAACUUGCAAGAGAAGAGAAGGAUAUAUUUGAUCUUUUUAGUUAGUGUGCUUGAUAAAAUAGAUAAAAAGAAACUGAAAGAAAAAAAUAAUUUUAUUUUCAUGCUUACAUGAUAGAACUGUUUUAAAACUUCUGGGGAAGCCAAAUGGUCAGGGUCAGCUCCCAAUUUUCGCAAUGGGCAGCUUCACACCUGCAAAUAUUCCCACACUAUCACCGCAGCUUUUUACCAUACUAGUUCAUAUGUGUAGCAAGUGUAGUUAGCUUGAUGUGCUCAAUUUUAAAUCCAUUUAUCAACAUUCAUACCUAUAUCAUGCUUUAAUUCAUAAGUUCGUUUACUCAUUAGUUACCCGUUGAACCAAUUAAAAUAUCAUCAGAUACUUGGGAAAGCUCACACAAAGUGUGCCUGUAAAUGCAACCAUAUACGUAUCUGUAAUGCUCACUAUAAGUCCUUAAUUCGUUCCAUUGCAUCAUUUCAUUACUAUAAUUUCGUAAAGUUCCCAUCUUUCACACAUUUCUAUAGACUAUUUCAAUUUUGCAAUUCAAUUCAAAUGCUAGUUAACAUUUUAUGACCAUUUAUAAUUAUAAAAAACUUACAAUUAUUCACUAAAAAGGAAAUUUAACAAAAUAAUCCCUAUACGAACUUACCUCAACAAAAUGGUUGUAAAAACGAACUCAACAACAAAUCCGAGACUUUCGCUUUCCCUCCAUUCAAGUCCGAUUGAUUCUUUUCUUGAUCAAGAUAAUAAUUUCAUUCAAUUAAACAAUUCAAAUAACUGACAAUAGCUAAAUCAAACCUAUAAUCCAUUUUAAUGUGAAAUUACAAAAUUAUUAAAUUACCCCUAAUAUUUUAACUUUUAUACAAUUUAGUCCCUAAGCCCAUAACUUGCAAAUUUACCAGUAAUGGUCUUGACAUAGUGUUCAUUUAGAUUUUUGCCUUAAGUUUUUGCAGCAUAGUUAAUAAUUGGGUGAGCAAAAUCGAUUUAAUUCGAAAAAUUCGAUAAAAAAUUUAAUUUUUGAAUUAAAUGGUUUGAGUUAUUCGAGUUAUUCGGAUAAACUCGAAUAAAAAAAUUAAAUUAAAUGUUUACCUUUUCUAAAAUUAAAAGUCAAAACCAUUAAAUUAGAAGACAAAACUACGUCGUUUACUAGUUAAAUAAUCCGUUCAUGUAAACGCAACAUUGAGUAUAAAUAAUAGGAUUCAUUAACUCGACUUAACUUGACUCAGUUUGAUUCAAUUUGAUUCAAAAAAAAAUUUAAAUUGAGUUCGGUUGUUAAAAUAGGAUUCGCCAACUCGACUAACUCAAAAUUUUUUGACCCGAUUCGACUCGAUUCGAUCGAAUAUUCACCCUUAGUUAAUAAUGUCAAAUCACCGUUUUAACUUAUAUGAAACAGUGGUUAAUUUUUUUCAAACACUCGUUUAACAUGAGUUAAACCGUGUGACCUCAUUUCAACUAAAAUAAAUAAUUUCAAAUUACCUAUUAACAAUGAGUGGGGUGUAAUGUCUACAAUUGAAUAUUCUUUACCUCUUUGCAUAAUUGCAUCAAUUCAUUGAUUAUCGGCCAAUCCAAGUUUAUAAUUAUUCUCUUCUACAAUAACUUUUAAAUGAGUGAAGUUAUUCUAGCAAUUUUCCGACUAUUAUUAUCAUAUCUAUUUUUUUAUACAAUGCCUAAAAUUAUUCAUAAUCUCUCUCAAUCAUUAAAUAGGAGGAUAAUGCGCUUCAACGUACUCGAAUUCACAUCUUUCUAGACUAACAACGAUGUCAAUGUCAAUCGAGAUAAAAUUCAAUCAACAAUAUUAAAUUAUUAGAUCAAUAAUUUUAUAUAAAAAUCAAAUGAUAUUUAGUUGAAUUAAAAAAUAUAUAUUUAUUGAAAGUCAGAGUGUAUAUAUUUUAUAUAAAUAACAAAAUAAAUACGAUGAAAAUAUCAUUACUUGGUUAUAAACUAAAAAAAAAUUUAAAGCUUUUUUUUCCUUUCAAGGUAUCUAACUAAUCAUCCGUAAUCUGCAGAUCUCUUAAGGGGAUAGAUGCUAAUCGUGAGUUUUAAAGCUGCUUUAUACUCAAGGUGAGGAUCGAACUCUUGAUCACUGAUUAAGGUAAAAAAGAUUAUUAUCUUCUCAUCUAAAUCUCGUGAUUAUUUAAAAAUUUGUUUUUAAUGUAAUAAAGUAUAAACAUUCACCUAAAAUGAAGUGGGUAAAAGGUUCUUUUAAUUAUUUCAAUUUUCAUAAUUUAUACUUCAUGCCUUCAAUUUUGCUUACUGAACUUGCCCAAUUGGGCAGUCUGCUAUUUCCAUGUUUUUUUCCUAAAACACUCUUAAAUUUGUCAAAGUUUUUAGGGGAUUCAACCAAUCUCUCAAAUCAGUUAAAAUGUUGAAUUGAAUAAAUUAAAAAAAAUAUUUUUAAAAAAUUGUUUCAAUUGGUCUGAUAGACCAGUUGGCCCUCUUAUUUUGGGUUGGUAUCUCGACUAAUUCUUGAUCCAAUCGAUUUUAAAAAGAGUGAGAUUUGUUACAGGGAAUCUACUUGAGAGAUCCCUCUAUUAUAGCGGUCUAAUCAAAUUAGUCCAUAUACUAUUAAAAGGAAUCAAAUAAGGCCAAAUUAGAAUAGAGUUUAUAUUUACUCUUUAAAAAAUAUCAUGUACUAUUUAACCGAGUUAAUAUUUUUAAAACUUGUAUGAUUCUAUAAAUGAAACCUUAUAUUUGGAAUUGAAUUGCAAAUGAAAAAAAAUUGAAAAUAUUUUUUAUACAGUAGAUGUUAACUCUAUUACAAUUUAAACCUAUUUAAUUUUUUAAUUGUGUAUAAAAUGAAUUAACCUAUUUAAUAAUAAAAAAACUAAUUCGAUUUAAUCCCUGUAAUACACUAGCUUCCCAAAUAAUUUAACCUAGCUGAUUCUUUCCUUCAUCACAUGAAGAAAUCUUAUAACACAUGUAUCACAUCAACUUUGAUUUUUUUUUCAGCAAUAAAUAUAAUUAAAAAUCCUCAACUGCAAAAAAAAAAUAAUAAUAAUAAUAAAGAAGAAAAAGGAGAGGAUGAUAGCUCUUUGGCAACCUUAAAUAAUUCAUUCGGAGAUAAUUUUUUCUAUGAUGAGAGGAGGAUAAAACUCUAAUAGCGACAUGACUAGUACGACUUGAGCUUAAAUCAGACCUGUGACGGUGAAUACCCUAUCCAUCAAGCAGACACAUCUUUGGUGUAUUUCAAUUGCUUAACAGUAGCAUCCCUCACAAUGAUGCUUACAAGUAAGUAGUAAUAAUUUGAUUUUUUUUAUCUGUUUAUUUUCAUUUAUCAAACUAAAAAUAGUAAUUAUUUGGUAAAAAAAUCUUUCUUGUCUCUCUGAAUUUCUAAAUAUAGUAAUUUAAUUAUUAAAUAAUUUUUCUAAUAUUAGAAAUAUUUAAUCUACGUUACUAACUGAGUUGGAUGAAAAUGUUUAAAUCCCCUAUUUACUAAAAAAAGUAAUUCAAAAUAUAUUUUACAAAAAAAUAUUAUGGAAAAAUAUAUAAUAUUUAUUAUAAAACAUUUAACUGAGUUGGUGUCACGGGUUAAUUGGGUAUCAACUCAGUUACUAAAAAACUAGGGUAAACAACACAUAUUUAGCCAACUAUAAUUUUUUUUAGGCACUUAAAAUAAAAAGUUUACAAUUUAAGCACCCACGUUACAUAGUUUGAUCAUUUUGGUCACUUCCGAUAAAAUUACAAACGACAAGUUGAUGUAGCGGUUAAAAAAUUAGUAUAGUAACAAUUUUAACCUUCAAAUUUUACAUACAGUAUCGAUUUAGUCAUAAUUUUAAAAAAUUAACCAUCAAAAUUUACAAAUAUUCUCAAUCCUAAAUCUAAAAAAAUUCAAAGAAACAUAUAAAAUUGCAUAAAUAUUUUCAAAAGUGUAUAAUAAUAAAUUUAAAUUUUAUAUUAAUAUUAAAUAAAAUAUAAUUCCCCUCACCCCUCCCCCUCUCAAACCUCCCACCACCUCUGUCCUUGUCUCCCCUCCCAUAACGAUAUGGGAGGGUGGGUCAUUUUUAUUUUAUUUAAUAUAAAUAUAAAUAUAUCUAUUAAAUAUUUAUAUGAAAUUUAAAUUUGUUAUUAUAUUUUUUGAAAAUAUUUAUAUACCUUCAUAUUUUUUUAAAUUUUUUAGAUUUAGGAUCAAAUUGAGAAUAUUUGUAAAUUUUAAAAGUUAAUUUUUUAAAAUUAUGACUAAAUUGAUAUUAUAUAUAAAUGUUGAGGGCUAAAUUUGUUAUUAUACCAAUUUUUUAACUACUUGUCAUUUAUAAUUUUAACGGGAAUGACCAAAAUAACUGAACUAGAUAACGUGAAUGCUUAAAUUGCAAACUUUUUAUUUUUAGUGCUUAAAAAGAAUUUUCUUUCUUUUUUUAAUAUUGGGUGACUAUUUACGUAAUUUACUCAAAAAACUAAUAUGUUUUUUUUAAAUGACAACUAAUAUUUUUAUGAUUAUGGUUUUUUGCCUUUUCAUACCUUUUUAUAUAAUAUUUAAAUAAAAUAAUAAAAAAAUUAUAUAUUUAAGGAUUGAAUGUGUGCUUAAUAAGAAUUAUAUAUAAAUUCAAUUCGUGUCACUCGUCAAUUGAUUUCAACUCAAUAAUAAAGUUUUUAAAAGCCCAUUAUUUUAACAAAUGGAUAUUAUUAGAUAUAAUAACUUAUUUAGCCUCUAACUUUGCAAAAAAAAAAAUCAUUUUAGCCUUUAAUUUAAUUUUUCACCUUUAACUUACAUUAUUUAUCAAAUCACCCAAAAAUAGAUGGAAAAGUUAAUGUUUGUUAACUUUGUUAAUGUAGCAUCCACAUGGCAGUCCACGUGUAUUUCACGUUAAUAAUUAGUUUUUCAGGAGUUAAAAAAUAUUUAAAAAUAUUUUUUUAUAAUUUUAAUAAUUUUUAUAUAAUUUUUGAAUUUUUAAAUUUUAAAAAAUUAAUUAAUUGCUGACGUGGCAACCCACGUGUAUGGCACAUCAGGAAGUUAACAAACGUUAAAUUUUUCCAAUUCAUUUUGGGGUAAUUUGACAAACAUAGCAAGUUAAGAGUUGAAAGACACAAAAAUUUAAAUGAAAGGCUAAAAUAAUUUUUUUUUGUAAAGUUGAAUGGCAAAAUAUGUCAUUAUGUCAUACUAUUUUAAGGACAAAUUUAUCUUUUCAUAUAAAAUCUAAAAGAAUACGUGAUAGGAUUCAAACCUCGAAACUUUAUAAUAUUUAAUAUAUGAAUCUUACCAUUUCAGCCAAAAUCAUAUUUAAUUAUUUUAUCAAAUUUAUUUUUGAAAAUUUGUUACAUAAAAUUUCACCCACAUAACGGGUGUUCUAUAAUCAAGAACUAAUUGAAAGUUUAUAUAAAAUGCAAAUGAAACUUUAGUUAAAAUGCUAAAUUUGAAGUUCUAAAAUCCAUAAUAAUUUAAAUCUCACGAUAUGGGGAUCUAUGAAUACUUUUUCGGAGUUCAUAGCUACUAGACCUGAUAAUGGAUCGGAUCAUCCAUCCAAGCCCAAAGGUCCGUUCGAAAAAUGGGUUUGAACAGAAAAUAAAAUCUUUUUUUUAAACGGACGGGCCUCAGGCAUAAUUUUUUGACUCGAGUCCCACCUCGACCCGAAUCACAUUAUUAUACUUUUUUUUCAAUUUGUUGGAAAAUAUUUAUUUUAAUAUUUUUAGUGUAUUUGAUGUAUUGUAUUUUUAAAUUUUGUUUUUAUAUAAAAAUAAUAAUCUAUAAAAAAAUUUAUUACAAUCAGGCCUGAUCAAGCUUGAAUUUAGCAUUUUUAAUAUGGAUCAAGUUUGAGUAAAAUUUUAAACACAUUUUUUGAGCUAGACCAAGUUUAAGCCUAAAAUUUUACACCGACUCAACCCACAAUCAAAUCCAGCGGAUACCUUCCAACCAAAAAAAUAAAUAUGAACAUUCUAAAAUAACACGAUUUGAAUUCGUAUUAAUAGAUAUUCGAGAAUAACUUUAACCACUUCUAUGAAGUAGAAUUAAAUAAUUAAUUCCCGGAAUAAAUGAAAAAUCAUUCAACAGUAAUGCUUUAACAUUUUUGUUAAAUUCCAGUUGCCAGUGUAAUGAUGUUCCUAGAGAUCAGGGAUAAAGCGCUUCUGAGAACGCUGUCGGAUCGUAUACUAUAUUUUUGGCUGAAAUGGGAACUCCGGGCAAUGGUAAUCCUCAGCCUCACCGUUCAACUUAUACUCAUAAAACUUGGGAGUCGACGGAGAUUCAGCGACAGAAAUUCAAAGACGGUCUCCUUUUUUACUUGGACCCUAUACUUGUUUACAGAUUGGUUGGCCGCAUUAGCAUUGGGUACCCUCCUCAGAAGUAGAAAGGAUAAAGUAACCAAUCCUCUGGUUCUAUUUUGGGCCCCAUUCUUGCUCUUGCAUUUGGGUGGCCCCGAUACCAUCACCGCUUACUCAUUGUCGGACAAUGAACUCUGGCCACGACAUUUCUUUGGGAUGUGUUUCCAUAUUGGAGUGGCUCUCUAUGUAUAUGUCAAGUUCUGGACAAUAGCAACAGCACCGCUCAUCUUCAUGGCCAUUCCAAUAUUCAUUGUUGGGGUUAUCAAGUAUGGGGAAAGGGUUUGGUCUCUCUUCAAAGCUAGUAGCGUCCGGUUUAGGAAAUCUGUGUUUUCUGGUGACAAAGGUUCCUCAUUGGAAGUUGAGCAUUCACAGUCGCCUUCAGAAAGAGGUAUGCCUUUGGAAGAAUACUUGGAGCCGAAACAAAUUAAGGGGAAAUACGGAGAUCUUUAUCGAGCCUUUCAUUUGUUUCAUGUGUUCAAGCCCAUGUUUGCAGAUCUCAAGCUCAGAAUUUACAAAAAUUUGAGUUACGUAUUUGAGCUGGACCAGACCAAAGUUAGUGCAAAAGCAGCCUUCACAAUUGUGGAGAUUGAGCUUGGAUUCCUUUAUGAUCUGCUGUAUACGAAGAUUCCUAUAGUUAUAACUCGACCCGGUGUAAUUCUUCGCUUCAUUUGCUUAUCCUUGAUCACUUGCACACUGCUUGCCUUCUUCGUUUUUGCCAAGCAUCACGACUCCCGAGUUGACAUUGCCGUAUCCUACUUGUUAAUGGUCGGGGCCAUCUUUCUUGAAAUUUAUUCCGCCCUCCUGCAUCUUAGCUCGGAUUGGGGAUUCUACUGGUUAGCCCAACAAAACAACGGGUUUCUUAGGCGUAUUGGUUCUAAGAUAGUUCGUUUCACUAAGCCCAAGGAGGGAAUUCGGUCAAUGGCACAGCACAGCCUGCUAGAUUAUUGCCUGCCGCCCAGGAAACUGAAUCUUGCUGCAGUUUUAAACUUCUUCGACUCUGAGGACAGACUGGGGAAGUACUUGCACACCGGUUGGAAAGAUGUAAGUCCCGAGUUGCAACAGUUUAUCUACUCCAGUCUCCAAGAAAAACGAAAAAAAUACGCAAAGACCGAGUUCAAAAAUCUCUCAGAGUUAUUGGAUGAGAGAGGUUCGAGUGUGCUUAAAGGAAUGGGAGGGUCAUCUGAAUACAUUCUUUGGAGUGUAUGCGAGGUUGAAUUCACCCACAGUCUCCUCCUAUGGCAUGUUGCUACAGAAGUUGUUUACCAUGACGAUGAUCACCGGUAUCGAGCCGUGCAACUCUAGCGGUAUUGCCGGAUAAGUAAGGCCUUAUCUGAUUAUAUGAUGUACCUUCUUUUUCUAUGUCCCGCAAUGCUUCCCGAAGGGAUUGGUAACAUAAGGCACCGUGAUACCUGCACUGAAGCGAUGAACUUCGCCCUCGACAAAUUCCAAUUCAAGGAAGCGGUCAGAGGGUUGUUUGGGAUGGACAUUAAAUCUCGAUCAUUCUUUAUCCAGAUGGGAAGUUCGAGGAAGUCGGCAUUCUUUGAAGGGUGCCAAAUCGCGGAACAAUUGCAGAGUUUGGUAUCUAUUUUCCAAUGGGAUAACCAAGAUAAAUGGAAACUGAUAGCGGAUCUAUGGCUGGACAUGCUGACUUAUGCCGCGGCUCAAUGCUCGUGGAAAGAGCAUGCGAUGCAACUCCAGCAUGGUGAGGAAUUCUUAACCCACGUUGCACUUCUCAUGGCACAUCUUGGUUUGAGUAAGAAAAUUCAAAUGGUACCAUUGCCCAAAAUGCUUGAAGAAGCCGAUUUUGAGCCUACUUUUCAUUGGGACAAGCUUCACCGAUUGACUUCUUAUUUGGCUUAAAUUUUAUAUAGAUAUUUAAAUGAAGAGACUACUUAUAUCUAAUAAAAUAAACUUUUAGUUGUACAAAAGCUUAAGAUUUUUAUUUUCAAAUUACGUUGUAUCAAAUAAAAUUUUAUCACAAUCACGGUAAUACUAAACAUCUUUUUAAAGAAGGAAAAGAAAAGUCAUAAUUAGCACCAACCAGUUGCCUUUUUUUUUAAUGCAAAGCCUUCUACAUUAGAUUUGAUAAUGGGUCUAUUUCGAAACAAAAUUUUAAAUACAUUUUUUAAGCUUGGGUCUAUUUCGAAAUGAAUCGAAAAUUUUACUCAAGACUGGUUCAAAUUAAAAAUGUUAAACUCAAGUUAAACCCAAUUUGUCUAUAUUAAUUUUUUAUAUGAAAACAAAUUAAAAAUUUUUAAUACAUCAAAUACACUAAAUGCUUCCCAACAAAUUGAAGGUACAUUAAAAAGAAAAAGAGCAAAUAAAUGCCUCUAAAAUAUUAGCAAAAUUAACAAUAAAAUAAGAGUUAUACAAUAUCGAAACAAUAACAACAAAAUAAUAAUAAUAUAAUAGCAAAAUGAUAGCAAAACAACAAUAUAUAACAGCAACAAAACUGCCGGAAAAAAAUUGUCACGUCUCUUUUCUUAAAAUAUUUAUUUUUUAAUAUUUUACUAUAUCCCUAUAUUUUAAGAACUUCUCUUUAAAUAUUAUAUAUAAUAUUUUGUUUUAAUUUUCUCCUCAUGAAGUCUAUACCGAUAAAAGUACCAUGGACGUUCAUGUGUUUAUAUUGUCUCUUUUAUUCAAAAAUUGGGUAAAUUAAUCAUUAUACAUAAAAUCAAAGAGGAAACUAAUCAUUUCUAUUAAGUUUCAUUUAUUUCUACUAUUAAGAAUCGGUGCAGAUGAUAAAAUAAUAAAAAAUUGCAUAUAAUGUACUACGUAUACCUCAUUGUGACCUAUAAAAAUUGUAUAUUAAAAUUUUAAAAAUAUAUUUACAUUCAUUUAUUUAAAAAUGCUUAUAAGAAUCACAAAACCGAGAUGAAUUUAUAAAAUAAAUUUCAAUGCAUUGGCUAAAUGAUAUAACAUAGACACCAUUUGUGAUCUUGAUGCUAUAGCAUUCCAUCUUACAUAAUAAAGCACAAUGCAUUACUAAAACACCUGAUGCUAACUGGGAUACUAUCGGCUGGAAUAAAGCUGCUGUUGGGAAGCAAAUUUGGGAUAUUAUUUGUACUAAAUCUUCUCUAUGGGUUGUUUGGAUUGAUAAGAACAAGUUAAAGCUCAUCAGCUUUUGGGGCAUUACUAAAACACCUGAUGCUAACUGGCCAUGGAACAUUUACUUGGUUUGAGAAAGUCUUUGAAAGAGCUUUUUAUAUAUAAAUAGGGACCAGGAGAACUUAGCUUUUGGUUUGACCCAUGGUUGAAUGGUUGAUACAGAUAUUCCAAAAGUUACUAUUGUUAAAGACGUCUGGAGGAAUGGAAGAUGGCGAGUGGCGACUACCUGACCCGAUGGAUCAGUUGACUCUUCAGGCAUGGGAGGAAGUGCAGAAGUUCUCUUUACCUACAACUGAAGACACUACUGCUUCUGCUUGGGAAGCUAUUAGAGAUUGUAAGCCACAAGUGAGCUGGUACAAGUUACUGUGGGGCAAACUUAAAUCAGGAAUAGGCUUGCUACUAAAAACAGGUUGUUUCGAUGGAAGAUUACGUCUGAUGACUUGUGCAGCUUUUGUUCUUCUCAUAAAGAUCUUGUCGAGCACCUUUUCUUUGAAUGCUCUUUUUCUGGCACAGUUUGGAAGGAUGUAUUUAUUACAGAGGUAUGACUUACAUAUAAGCAUCUUACAUUGGAGGAGGAAAGUUAGUUGGUUUACUAGAAAGACCAUGGGGAAAAAUCCAUUGGCUAUUCAAGAAGGAUAGCCUUCCUUGCUACAGUUUACUGGUUAUGGAGGGAGAGAAACUCAUGCUUUUUAAAACACAAGCCAUUGAUUUACAUAAUUUUUCUUGCAACUACAUAGGUGGAGAUAGAUAGAGACAAUGGUAUUGACAUAGUGUUUGUUUAGAUUUUUGCCUGAGUAUACUUAAUAAUAUCAAAUUACUGUCUUAAUUUGUACGGAACGGUAGUUAAUUUUUUUUAAACACGAGCUUAAAUCGACUGAACUCAUUUCAACUAACUAAAAUAAAUAAUAUCAAGUCACCUAUUAACACUUACUGGAGUGAGUUAAAAGAUUGAAAGAAAGCAUGUCUUCAAUUGAAUAUUCUUUACCCCUUUGCAUAAUUGCAUCAAUUCAUUAUUUAUCUGCCACUCCAAGUUUAUAAUUAUUCUCUUCUACAAUAACUUUUAAAUGAAUGAAGUUAUUCUAGCAAUUUCCCGACUAUUAUUAUCAUAUCUGUUCUUUUUUAUAUAAUACUUAAAAUUAUUCAUAGUCUCUCUCAAUCAUAAAUAGGAGGAUAAUGCACUUCAACAUACUCGAAUUCACGUCUUUCUACACUAACAACAAUAUCAAUGCCAAUUAAGCUAAAAUUCAAUCAGCAAUAUAUACUAAAUUAUUAGAUCAAUAGUUUUAUAUAAAAAUUAAAUGAUAUUUAGUUGAAAUAACAAAAUAAUAUAUAGAAAGUCAUAAUGUGUAUAUAUUUUAUAUAAAAUAACAAAAUAAAUACGAUGAAAAUAUCAUUACUUGGUUAUAGUAUCUAACUAAUCUUCUGUAUUCUAUAGAUCUAUUAAGCGGAUAGAUGCUAACCAUGAGUUUUAAAGUUGCUCCUUCACACUCAAGGUGAGAAUCGAAUCCUCAACUACUGAUUAAGGUAAAAAAAUCGUUAUCAUCUCAUAUAACUCUCGUGAUUAAUUAAAAAAAAAUUUAAUGUAAUAAAGUAUAAACAUUCACCUAAAAAAAAGUGAGUAAAAGGUUCUUCUAAUUAUUUGGAUUUUUAUAAUUUAUUCUUCAUGCCUUCAAUCUUGCUUACUGAACUUGCCCAAUUGGCAAUCUGCUAUUUCCAUUUUUUUCCAUAAACACUCUUUUAAAUUUGUCAAAGUUUUUAAGAUGAUUAAAUCAAUCUCUCAAACUAGUUCAAUUGAAUAAAUUAAUAAAAAAUAUUUUUUAAAAAUCGAUUCAAUCAGUCUAAUCGACCAGUUCAACUCUUUACUUUGAAUGGGUAUCUCGACUGAUUCUUAGUCUAAUCGAUUCAAAAAGAGUAAAUUUGUUGCAAUGAAUCUACUUGAGAGGUCCCUUUAUUAUAAGGAUCUAAUUAAUUUAGUCCAUAUACUAUUAAAAAGAAUCAAAUAAGGUCAAAUCAGAAUAUAGUUUAUAUUUACUCUUUAAAAAUAUAUAUAUAUCAUUUACUGUUAAACGGAGUUAAUAUUUUUAAAGUUUAUAUGAUUCUAUAAAUGAAAGCUUUUAUUUGGAAUUAAACCGCAAUUAAAAAAAAUAAGUUUCAAAAUAUUUUUAUACAAUAAAUGUUAACUCUAUUACAAUUUAAAUUUAUAUUUUUAACAAUAUAUGAAAUAAAUUAACCCAUUUAAUAAUAAAAAAAUUAAUUCGAUUUAAUCCCUAUUAUACACGGACUUCCCAAAUACUUCAAUCAAGCCAAUUCUUUGCUUGAUGACAUGUAUCACAUCACCAUUGAUUUUUUAUUUUUUUUUUGCAGCUAUAAAUAUAAUUAAAAAUAGAGAGAAAGAAAAAGAAAAAGAGGAAUAUAGCUGUUUGGCUUAAACAAUUCAGAUAUAUUUGAUCCUGCAGGUGUAUUUUUGUUGCUUGACAAUGGCAUCCCUCUCAUCACUGCUUACAAGUAAGUAGAACUAUAAUUUUACAUUUAUCAUAGUAAUAAUUUGGUAAAAAAGUCUCUCCCGCAUUUUUUGAUUUCGAAAUUGAAUAAAUAGGUCUCUCUGAAAAAAUUAAAGUAAGUUAAUUUUUAUUAAUUUCAAAAGUGAGCAAAUAUUUUCUAUCAAUUGUACAUGAUUUUAAUUAGUAUAAUAAUAAUUUUAGUCCUCAAAGUUUACACAUCCUGUUAAAUCGGUAUUAAUUUAACAAAACUAUCCCGCAACAUUUGUGUAAAUGUUGAGGUUUUUAGAAUUAAGGCCAAAAUAACAAAAUAUGUAAAUAUCGAAAGCUAAAUUUGUCAUUAUACCAAUCAAAAUUAUGUACAACUGCGGAAGUAAUUGUACUCAAUUGCUUACUUUCAAAAUUGACAGGGAUUAAAUUACUCCAACUUUUUUUUUUUUAAGAUGGAUCAAUUUACUCAAUUUUAAAAUUGAGAGAGACUGAAGAAAUCUUUUUACCGAAUAAUUUAUAUUUGUUUAUUGUUUAUUUAUUUAAAUUUCUUUCAUAUGAAAAGUAUUACCAUGAGAUGCACGUUUUACCUUAAAAUAAUUAUAGAUUAUGUUUUAGCUUAAAUUUUCUUUUUAAAUUUUUUAAAAAUAUAAAAUCAUAAAAAUUAAGAAAAAAAUCAUAAAAAUCUAAAAAUUAUAACAAAACAUGUUUUCCUAAAAGUUAUAGAAAAUAAUUAAAAUUAAUAAAUAAUUAUAGAAAUUUACAUAAAAAGUAUAGAAAAUUAUUAAAAAACCAGAAAAGUAUAAAAAUUGUAAAAAAAUAUAAAGAAAUUAAAAAUGAUAAAUAAUUGUAAAUAAUUAAAAAAUAUAAAAUUUACAAAAAAAAUUAUAGAAAAUAGAAAAUAUGGAAAUAUACAAAAUAUAUAAAAUUUUCUUUUUUUUCAUUUUUUCAUUUUCCCAAAACAUAAUUAUUCAAAACAACAAUUUACUCUCAAAUUUAUAGUUCCUUAAACAUGUAUAAUUAUAAAUAAUUACACUCAAAUAUUAAUUACUAGAUAAAUUUUCAAUUUGAUGUGAUGGCCAAGGUAUUCACUACCUCAGAUGUGGUCUGGGUUCGAGUCACGCUAGUCAUGUUGUUGUUAGGGUUUUACCCUGCUCUUGUAACCCACCAAAAAAAGAUAAAAAUAUUUGGUGUCACAGGUUAAUCGAGUAUGAACUCAAUUACUAAAAAAUUAGUGUAAUAGUCCCCAAAUUAUAAAAAAAAUUCAUUUUAGGCACUCAAAAUGAAACGUUUGCAAUUUAAGAACUCACGUUUCAUAACUCGGUCAUUUUAACCCCUAUCGUUAAAAUCACAAAUGGCAACCUAAUGUGGUAAUUAAAAAAUUGGGAUAAUAAAAAAUUUAACUCUCAACUUUAACAUAUAAUAUUGACUUAGUCAUAAUUUUAUAAAAUUAACCAUCAAAAUUUACAAAUAUUCUCAAAUCCUAAUUAUAAAUAUAUAAAAGUACAUAAAUAUUUUCAAAAAAUAUAAUAAUAAAUUAAAACUUUAUAUUUAUGCAUUUUUUAUAUAUUUCUUUGAAUUUUUUAAAUUUAUGAUCGAAUUGAGAACAUUUGUAAAUUUUGAGGGUUAUUUUUUAAAAAUUAUGACAAAUCGAUAUUAUAUGUAAGUGUUGAGGGCUAAAUUUUUUAUUAUACUAAUUUUUUAAUUGCUGAACUAUUUCAAUUGCAAACUUUUUAUUUUAUGUGCAAAGUGAAAUUUUUUUAUAGUUGAGUAACUAUAUGUGCAGUUUAUUCAAAAAAAAUUAGCAUGCUCUUUCUUUUAUUAUGAUUAUGUUUUAUCUUUUCAUACUUUAAUAAUAAUAAUAAUAAUAAUAAUAAUAAUAAUAAUAACUGCAUAUAUAAGGAUUGAACAUGUAUUUAAUAAGAAUUAUAUAUAAAUUCAAUUGGUGUAACCCAUCAACCGUUCUCAACUCAAUCAUAAAAAUUGUAAAAGCCCAUUAUUUUAACAAAUAAAUAUUAUUGGUGUAAUUGGCCCUUCAACUUUGUAGAAAAAAAUUAUUUUAGCCCUCAAUUUAAUUUUUUACCUCGUUUAUCCCUUAAACUUGCAUUGUUUGUCAAAUUACCCCGAAAUGGAUAGAAAAGACUUUGUUGAUAUGGCAUCCACAUGACAGCCAACGUGUAUUUCACGUUAGCAAUAAUUUUUUUUAAUAUUUAAAAAUAUUUUAAUAUUUUAUAAUAUUUUAAUAAUUUUUAUAUAGUUUUUUAAAUUUUUAAAAAUUAAUUUAUUUUUGACAUGGCAACCCACGUGUAUGCAACAUCAACAAAGUUAACAAGAGUUAAUUUUUUUCAUUCUUUUUGGGGUGAUUUGACAAAAAUCAUAACUUUAAGGGCUGAAAGAGAUGAAAAAUUAAAUGUAAAGUUGGAGGACAAAAUAAGUCAUUAUACCAUAUUAUUUUGAAGACAAUUUUAUCUUUUUAUAUAAAAUCGAAAGAAAAACACUCGCUCACGGAUGCAUUAGAGGAUUUGAACCCCAAAACUUUAUAAUAUUUAAGAUCUAAAUCUUACCAUUUCAACCGAACUAUAUUUAAUUAUUUUAUUUUUUAAAACUUUUUUUUUACAUAAAUUUUCACCCAUAAUAAUGGGUGUGCCAUAAUUUAGUACUAAAUAAAAGUUUAUAUAAAAAAACAACUUUAGUUGAAAUGGUAAAUUUAAAUCUCACCAUAUAUGAAUCUAUAUUGAUUACAUAUAAAUAUAUAUUUUAAAAAAUACUCAUGUAAUAAUAUAACUUAUUUUUGUAAGACGAAUAUAUUUUAUAGUCUAUGAAUACUUUUUCGGGAUGCAUGGUUAUUAGAUUUGAUGAUGGGUUAGGUCACCUACUCAAAAAACAGGUUUAGACAAAAAAUAAGGCUAAUUUUUUAUACGAGUAGAGCUUUAGGCAGAAUUUUUUUAACUCAAGCCUAACUCCGACCCGAAUCACAUGUCUAUACUCUUUUCCUUUUUUUUACAUUUUCAAUUUGUUAUUUUUAGUAUAUUUAAUAUAUUAUUUUUUUAAAAUUUGUUUUUAUUUAAAAGAAUUUAUUACAUUCAAGCCGAGUCGAACUCAAAUUUAACAUUUUUAAUAUGGGUGAGGCUUCAGCCAAAUUUUAAAUUUAUUUUUAAAUUGAGUCAAACCCGAAACUAAAAUUCGUACACUGAUUCAACCCGAACUUGACUUAACCCAUGAUUAUUGAUUAGUACUCAAUCAAAGACAUAGAUUAUUAAUGACUAAAAGGAAUGUUUGGUGUUAGAAUUUGUCCACUCGAGAUUCAAAAAAACAUCAACACUGGCAUAUCCAUUUUUAAGCAAAUCAAGCUCCUACACAUGAUAGAGAAUAAGGUGGAGCAACAGGACUUCAAUUUGUAUAAACAAGUGUCCUUCAUAUAACUACGAAUUAAAUAAUUAAAAUGUCAUACACAUGCUUAAUUCCCGGAAUAGAUGAAAAAUCUUUCAACAGUAAUGCUUAACCUUUUUGUUGAUUUCCAGUUGCAAGUGCAAUGCUGUUCCUAGCGGUCAAGGAUAAAUCGGGCUUGAAAACAGUGUCGAACCAUAUAAUAGUGUAUUGGCUGAAAUGGGAAAUCCGGGUAAUGGUAAUCCUCAGCCUCACCAUUCAACUUAUACUGAUAAGAAUUGGGAAUCGGCGGAGAUUCAGCGGCAGAUAUUCAAAGUCGGUCGGCUUUUUGGUUUGGACCCUAUAUAUGUCUGCAGAUUGGUUGGCCGCAUUAGCCUUGGGUACCCUCCUUAGAAGUAGAAAGGAUAUACAAACCAGUCCUCUGCUUCUGUUUUGGGCCCCAUUCUUGCUCUUGUAUUUGGGUGGCCCCGAUACCAUCACCUCUUACUCAUUGUCGGACAAUGAACUCUGGCCUCUACAUUUCUUUGGUUGUGUUUCCAAAUUGGAGUGGCUCUCUAUUUAUAUGCCAAUUUCUGGACAAUAGCAUCAAACUCGCUCAUCAUUACGGCCAUUCCAAUGUUCAUUGUUGGGAUUAUCAAGUAUGGGGAAAGGGUUUGGGCUCUCUUUAACGCAAGUAGCGUCCAGUUUAGGAAAUCUGUGUUUUCUGGUGACAAAGGUUCCCCAUUGGAUGUUGAGCAUUCACAGUCGUCUUCAGAAAGAGGUAUGCAUUUGACGUUGGAAGAAUACUUGGAGCGGAAACAAGUAGAGGGGAAAUACGGAUAUCUUUAUCGAGCCUUUCAUUUGUUUCAUGUGUUCAAGCCCAUGUUUGCAGAUAUCAAGCUCAGAAUUUACAAAAGUUUGAGUUACGUAUUUGAGCUGGACCAGACCAAAGUUAGUGCAGAAGCGGCCUUCACAAUUGUGGAGAUUGAGCUUGGAUUCCUUUAUGAUCUGCUGCAUACAAAGAUUCCUAUAGUUAUAACUCGAUCCGGUGUAAUUCUUCGCUUCAUUUGCUUAUCCUUCACCACCUUCACACUGCUUGCCUUCAUCUUCGUCGUUGGUAAGCAUGAACACUCCCAAGUUGACGUUGGCAUUUGCAACUUGUUAAUGGGUGCUGCCAUCUUUCUUGAAAUUUAUUCCGCCUUCCUGCAUCUUAGCUCGGAUUGGGGAAUCUACUGGUUAGCCCAACAAAACAAUGGGUUUCUUAGGGGUAUUGGUUCUAAGUUGGUUCGUUUCACUAAGCCCAAGGAGGGAAUUCAAUCCAUGGCACAGCGCAGCCUGCUAGAUUGUUGCCUACCGCCCAGGAAACUGAAUCUUGCUGCAGUUUUAAACUUCCUCUACUCUGAGGACAGUAUGGGGAAGUACUUAAGGACCGGUUGGAGAGAUGUAAGUCCCGAGUUGCAACAGUUUAUCUACUCCGAUCUCCAAGUAAAAGGAAGAAAAUACGCAGAGACCGAGUUCAAAAAUCUCUCGGAGUUACUGGAUGAGAGAGGUUCAAGUGUGCUUAAAAGAAUAGAAAGUCUCUCUGAGGACAUUAUGUGGAGUGUAUGCGAUGUCGAAUUCACCCACAGUCUCAUCCUAUGGCAUGUUGCUACAGAAGUUGUUUUCUAUGACGACGAUCACCGGUAUCGAGCCGUCUAUCCGAAUUGCCAGAUAAGUAAGGCCAUAUCUUAUUAUAUGAUGUACCUUCUUUCUCUAUAUCCCGCAAUGCUUCCCAGAGGGAUUGGUCACAUAAGGCUCCGUGAAUCCUGCAUUGAAGCGAUGAACUUCACCCUCGACAAUAUCAAAUUCAAGGAAGCUGUCAGAGGGUUGUUUGAGGUGGACAUUAGAUCUCGGUCAUUCUUAAUCCAGAUGGGAAGUUCAAGGAAGUCCGCAUUCUUUGAAGGGUGCGAAAUAGCCCGGCAUUUGCAGGAUUUGGUAUCUACUUUCCAAUGGGAUAACGAAGAUAAAUAGAAACUGAUAGCGGAUUUGUGGCUGGACAUGCUGACUUAUGCCGCGGCUCAAUGUUCGUGGAAAGAGCAUGCGAGGCGACUCCAGCAUGGUGAUGAAUUCUUAACCCACGUUGCACUUCUAAUGGCACAUCUUGGUUUGAGUAAGAAAAUUCAAAUGGUGCCAUUGCCCAAUAUGCUUAAAGAAGCCGAUUUUGGGCCUACUUUUCAUUGGGACAAGCUUCACCUAUUGCUUUAUUACUUGGCUUAAAUUAUAUAUAGUUGUAAUGGUGGACAUGUACAAAAGCUUAAGCUUUUUAUUUUCGAAUUACAUUGCACCAAAUAAAAUUUUAUCACAAUCAUAGUAAUAAAGAAUAUAUUUUUAAAGAAUAAAAAGAAAAAAAAAUCAUAAUUAGCACCAACCAAUUCCCCAUUUUUUGUUUUCAUUCCAUUAAUCAUGAAUUGGAUUAAGUCGAAACAAAAUUUUAAAUUCACUUUUUAAGUUUGGACUCACCCUGAAAAUAGGUCUAAAAUUCUACUUAAGCCCAGUCCAAAUUAAAUUGCUAAACCUAAGUUUGACCUAGCUUGUCUGUAUCAAAAUUUUUUAAGAUUUUUUUAUAUAAAAACAAAUUUAAAAAAUAUAAUACAUCAAAUAUGGUAGCAAAACAAAAAUAUAACAGCAGUAAAACAACAACAUAACAGCAGGAAAAAAAAAGUCAUGUGUCUCUCUUUUUUAAAAUAUUUUUUACUAUACCCCUAUAUUUUAAAAACUUCUCUUUAAAUAUUAUAUAUGAUAUUCUGAUUUAUAUUUCUCCUCAUGAAUUCUAUAUCGAUAAAAGUACCAUUGAGGUUCAUGUGUUAAGAGUCGGGUUUAUAUUGUCCAUUUUAUUUUAAAAAAAUGAUAAAUUAAUCAUUAUACAUUAGAUUAAAGAGCAAACUAAUACUUUCUAUUGAAUUUCAUUUAUUUCUACUAUUAAAGAAUCAAUGCAACUGGCAAAAUAAUCAGAAAUUACACGUAAUAUACUAUGUGUAUCUCAUCCUAACCUAUAAAAACUGUAUAUUAAAAUUUUUAAAAUGUGUUUAUAUUCAUUUUUUUUUAAAUGGGUCCCUUUUGAUUUCUAAAUUAAUCAAUUGAAUUGAACAAUACUGAUUCGUUAUUGCUAGGGAGCAUUGCUUGCCAAGUAGUGAACAUUCUCAACAGGGACGUAUGCAUAUAAGAACUGUGCUUGAAUGGCAUAUUAAUAGGCAAAAUCGAGAUGAAUUUAUAAAAUAAAUUUCAAUGCAUUGGCUAAAUGAUACAACAUAGACACCAUUUGUGAUCUUGAUGCUAUAGCAUUCCAUCUUACAUAAUAAAGCACAAUGCAUUAAAAUUCACUCUUAUUCUACAGAAACACAGACUACAUUGCAAACAGAAUUCUAAAUAAUCCAGCAUCAUAAAAUGAGACUCUUACUUGACAUACUUCAAAAGCCAUUCCAGCAUAUCUUGAUGCGCUUCGUUAGCACGUGCCACAGCAGUUGAAUUAUUAAUAUCAUAUCUGAGCGUCCAUCC